GCCCUCGUGGCCCAACUGGCAGAGGCGGCGGCAUGAGGUGUCGCAGGUUGCGCGUUCGAAUCGCGCCGAGGGUA
rnacentral:tRNA from 2 species